rnacentral:rRNA from 1 species
UCGGGAAUUUUGGGCAAUGGGCGAAAGCCUGACCCAGCAACGCCGCGUGAGGGAUGAAGUAUUUCGGUAUGUAAACCUCGAAAGAAUGGGAAGAAUAAAUGACGGUACCAUUUAUAAGCUCCGGCUAACUACGUGCCAGCAGCCGCGGUAAUACGUAGGGAGCAAGCGUUGUUCGGAUUUACUGGGCGUAAAGGGCGCGUAGGCGGCGCGGUAAGUCACUUGUGAAAUCUCUGAGCUUAACUCAGAACGGCCAAGUGAUACUGCUGUGCUAGAGUGCGGAAGAGGCAACCGGAAUUCUUGGUGUAGCGGUGAAAUGCGUAGAUAUCAAGAGGAACACCUGAGGCGAAGGCGGUUUGCUGGGCCGACACUGACGCUGAUGCGCGAAAGCCAGGGGAGCAAACG